rnacentral:rRNA from 1 species
UGGGGAAUUUUGGACAAUGGGCGCAAGCCUGAUCCAGCCAUGCCGCGUGCGGGAAGAAGGCCUUCGGGUUGUAAACCGCUUUUGUCAGGGAAGAAAAGACUCCUGUUAAUACCGGGGGUUCAUGACGGUACCUGAAGAAUAAGCACCGGCUAACUACGUGCCAGCAGCCGCGGUAAUACGUAGGGUGCAAGCGUUAAUCGGAAUUACUGGGCGUAAAGCGUGCGCAGGCGGUUAUGCAAGACAGAUGUGAAAUCCCCGGGCUCAACCUGGGAACUGCAUUUGUGACUGCAUGGCUAGAGUACGGUAGAGGGGGAUGGAAUUCCGCGUGUAGCAGUGAAAUGCGUAGAUAUGCGGAGGAACACCGAUGGCGAAGGCAAUCCCCUGGACCUGUACUGACGCUCAUGCACGAAAGCGUGGGGAGCAAACAGG